GACGAACGCUGGCGGCGUGCCUAAUACAUGCAAGUCGAACGCAGUGGGGACGGGUGCGUAACACGUGGGUAACCUCCCAUCAGAGGGGAUAACACUUGGCAACAGGUGCUAAACCGAUACUGAUGGAUGGACCCGCGGUGCAUUAGCUAGUUGGUGAGGUAACGGCUCACCAAGGCCACGAUGCAUAGCCGAUCUGAGAGGGUGAUCGGCCACACUGGGACUGAGACACGGCCCAGACUCCUACGGGAGGCAGCAGUAGGGAAUAUUGCGCAAUGGACGAAAGUCUGACGGAGCCACGCCGCGUGAGUGAAGAAGGCCUUCGGAUUGUAAAACACUGUUGUUAGAGAAGCGAUAUCUAACCAGAAAGCAACGGCUAACUACGUGCCAGCAGCCGCGGUAAUUC
rnacentral:rRNA from 1 species